AUCAAUGCUUGUUUUAAAUCCUGAGGGGAUUGUAAUAUAGGAUAUUUUUUCCUUUGGCAGGUGCAAGAAGGGAAGUAAAUGUGAGAUUGACCCAGGAUUCCAAAAGCAAAAAGCUUGAAGAGAGGACAAGCUAUAAGAGGGAAAAAGAAAUGCUCACAUGGUGUUUCUAUAUUUCUACUGUACUUAGUCGUGAUUGACAUUAUUCUUACAGGACAAAUGCAUUAUACAAGAUAAGUCCCUUCAUUCAUUUUGAUUGGCCACUGCCUUAUGCGAAUGAUAACUGCAUAAUAUUUAGGGACCCUUCCACUUGUAGAGCACUAAACAUUCGACACCAUCGCUAGCAGAGUCAAUGAUAUCUGUUGCGUCUCAAUCUUUUUGGGCCCUGACAAUCACUUGACACUUUUUGUGGUCAUUCACUCAGGUAAUGCACGUAUCUUUCCUAUUCUUUUGUUACUCAAUUAUAUUAAUCUUUUCAGUUCAUUUGUAAGUUGUGCUGAACAUGUGAUCACAAGACAAGGUUGUGGUCCGUGACCCUGUACAGAGUGAUCUGUUGUCUAAGCUUUGUUUUAAUACUUUAAAAGCUAUUCCUAGUUGGUGGACUGCAAUAUUUUAUUAGCCACAGACGUUUGCCAUUAGGGUGAGCAUAUAUGCUGUUCUGCUUUGACAAUUUGCUCUUGCCGUCCACUUCUUUGAUAUAUAUAACAUUUUGGACCUAGU
rnacentral:misc_RNA from 1 species